GGGAGAGAUGCUUCCAGAACCGACCUCCUUGCCUUGGGGAGCACUCUGGGUCCCUAGCACAGGACAGGAGCGCGACAGUUCGGCAGCGGUGGCAGCGCGAUCACGGGUGGUGGCCAGUACUCAGGGCUGUGUGAUAGAGGAGGUGCUCGCUCGCGCUCUCUCUCUCUCUCUCUCUCUCUCUCUCUCUCUCUCUCUCUCUCUCUCUCUCUCUCUCUCUCUCUCUCUCUCUCUCUCUCUCUCUCCCUCUCUCUCUCUCUCCCUCUCUCUCUCCCUCUCUCUCUCUCUCGAAGGGGAGGGGGAGAGCAGCGCGCGCUCUCCACCAGUUCUGCACCUCCAGCCCGCCCCCGGGGCCACCGCCUGGCUCCGGAAGUCGCGACGCGGGCUGAGGACCAGUUACCUGGGCCGGGUCGGGGCUGCGGCCGGUCCGAGCAGGCAGUGACCUUGAAGCCUGGGGGAAGGUGACAGGAAAGCAGGACUAUUCGAGCCAAACACUCCUGGAGCUGCUCCCUGAGUUUCUUUCUCCCAGAAUGCUGCCAUGACUGCCAGUUGGUGGAGACCCCCCUUUCUUCUGUACAAGUGAAACAUUAUACUCUACUACGUUAUACUCUACUACCGUGUUUGUCUUUGCUGUUCCCAAAGAAUUUGCCUGUAAUUAUGCAGCUCUCUGUCCUCUUUUCACUCCUAGCACACAGUAGGUGUCCAUGUUAAAGAAAGCAUCUCUUAUGGAGGAGGCAUUAGUGUCUCUGUUCUUAGGCCAUGAAAAUUCUUGGAGUUUUGGGGGUUAUUUGUUUGUUUCAGGAUGCCAGGGAUCAAACCCUGGGCCUUGUAUAUGCGAGGCAAACACCUCCACUCCUUACAGAGUGAGUCACACCCCCACUCCUUACAGAGCACUAGAGGGUCAUUAUUUUUUAUUCUGCUGUUAAUUUUAUUUGGGGGGGGCACACUCUGUGAUGCGGCGGGGACUCCUCCCAAGCCUGUGCUCUGUUACUCCAAUGGUGCUUGAGGGAAUCACACACAGUGUCAGGAAUUGAACCCACGCCUCCCGCAUGCCAAGCGUGUGCUUAGUCACUGGGCACUCUCGAGUGCCUAGGCCAUGAGAAUUUCUAAGCUGCCUGGGGCAUGAGAAAAGCAGAGCCCUAGUGUCACACCCAGCAGUGCUCAGAGCUUACUCCUGGCUCUGUGCUCAGUGACCACUCUAGCAUUGCUCAGGCAGGCUAGAUCUUCAGGUCCUGGCAGUGCUACAGGCCCACCCUGGAGGCUUUCCCCCUUAGUUUUGUCUUUGUAUUUCUGUCUCCAAAAGGCAAAUGAAAUUAAUAAAGUUUUGAUCAAUCUGUA